rnacentral:rRNA from 1 species
UCGGUUGAUCCCGCCGGACCUGACUGCUAUCGUAUUGGUACUAAGCCAUGCGAGUCGUUGUAGCAAUACAAGGCGGACUGCUCAGUAACACGUAGUUAACUUAACCUAUGGAUGGGAAUAACCUCGGGAAACUGAGAAUAAUACCCAAUGGGCCACAGUGCCUGGAAUGGCCUGUGGUUGAAAUGAUUUAUCGCCGUAGGAUAGGACUGCGGCCUAUCAGCUUGUUGGUGAGGUAAUGGCCCACCAAGGCUAUAACAGGUACGGGCUCUGAGAGGAGGGGCCCGGAGAUGGGUACUGAGACACGGACCCAGGCCCUAUGGGGCGCAGCAGGCGAGAAACCUUUGCAAUGUGCGAAAGCACGACAAGGUUAAUCCGAGUGUCUCCUGCUAAAGGAGUCUUUUGUCAGUUGUAGAAUCACUGGUGAAUAAGGGGUGGGCAAGUUCUGGUGUCAGCCGCCGCGGUAAAACCAGCACCUCGAGUGGUCAGGAGGUCUAUUGGGCCCUAAGCAUCCGUACCCGGUUGCAUACGUUUUCGGUUAAAUCUAUGCGCUUAACGUUA